UCAAGAGUCGGCUCAACCGACUGAGCCUCCCAGGUGCCACAGGAGUUGUCAUUUUAAGUAGGGCGGAAGGAGACCUCCCGAGAAGGUGACAUCUGAUGGCCUGGGGGAGUGACAGAGCUGGCUGUCCUGCAGAACCCCGGGAAGGGCAUUCCAGGCAGAGGGCACAGCACGUGCAAAUACCUGAGGCACGAAUACCACCUCGGCGAGGAGGAGAGAGCGCUGCAGCAGAGGAGAGAGGGGUCUGUCACACGUGCUGGCUGCUGAAGGAAGGACACGUAGGCCCUGGGAUCCCAUCCCUGGAGGAGUCACAUAUCGGACAGACCUGUGUGGCCUGCGGCAAGACCUUCCCCACUCAGAGCCUCGGUUUUCUCACCUGCAGAAUGGUGCUCGUGGUUGCUGGGGGGUCUGGAGACAGCAGAGUGCCCAGCGCACUGCAGGUUCAACAGGCACUCACUAAGCGCUGGCCCAGGGCCCAGCCAGCUGCCCUGAUAGUGGGGGUGAGAGACCCAGCCCUACCCUCACAGAGCUUGCCCAGCGGGCACUAGGCAAAUGGUGUGAUUACCAAAUAGGACACACCCAGGGUCCCACCCCAGGGGACGUGGGGGGCUCAAGCUGCACACUCGACCAGCACCCGCUGACCGGGUUCUCCUCGGCCUGCAAGGCUGGGCCCCGGGCCUCCCUCAAGGACUCCACCCAGGCUGACAGCUCGGAGGAUGAGUUGGACUUAAUUCGGUGAACUCAUGGCAAGAGGGGCAGGGUUUGGGCAACAUGUCCAGCAUCACAUGGCUCGUAAGAGGGGCCUGAGCUCAUUCCCGAGGCUCUGGUAAAGUCAAGGAAGCAAAGGAAGUCGGUGUAUCUGCAACGUCCAGUGAUGCCUGUUGAGGGAGAUGGGAGAGCAGGGGGUCAGACCUUUCUGGGUCAGUCAUGGAUUUCACGGUUUCAGGACAGAAGUGACCUCAGAAACCACCCAAACUCCUCAUGAUACAGAGGGGGGAAACUGAGAUUCAGUUGGGUAAAGGACAUGGGCAAGGUCAAAGCAAGUUGGGGGCAGACCCAGGGUUGGAACCUGGACUUUCUAACAUGUGCCCAUGGCUCUUUUUUUUUUUUUUUUUAAUGUUUAUUUAUUUAUUUUGAGAGAAAGAGUAAGCACAGGCAUGAGCAGGGGAGGAGCAGAGAGAGAGGAGAGAGAGAAUCCCAAACAGGCCCCACACUGUCAGUGCAGAGCCUGAUGUGGGGCUCAAUCCCAUGAACCCAACUGGGAGAUCAUGACCUGAACCAAAAUCAAGAGUCAGACGUUUAACUGACUGAGCCACCCAGGAGCCCCUGCCCAUGACUCUUUCUGCAUCUGGUGAGUAUCCCAAGAGAAGAGGGAGAAUAUAAAAUGUUAAAUUAGCACCUACUAUGUCACACACACACACACACACACACACACACACACACACUCUUCACCAGUAGGUCCCUGGGCCUUAGGCCAGGGCCGGCCAUAGCCCUGGGAAUCGCUUCCAAACAAGAAAGGAAAAGGAACCUAGAAGGUCGUUUGCUCCAGCCUCCUGCCACUGGCCUCAAGGCCUCAUCCCACUGUCUCAACUGAAAUCCUCUGUAGUGAGCAGAAAUUAUAACCCCCAUCUUGUUAUGAGCAAGCCAAGAGGAGAAAAUGAAGCACUGACCUAAACUCCCACAGCGAGCAUCGGUUAAAGCUGUCUUGACUCCUAGUUUAGUGCUCUUUCCAAGGUCAUGCACAGCCCAGGUUUGAGCUAGCUGGCAGGAGGAAGUCCUUCCUGCUGUCUAACUGAAACCCCUCCUGCUUUACCGUGCCAGCUUUCCUUUGUUUGGACGCCUGAAGAAGUGGAGAAGCACCAACAUCCACCUCAUGGUCCUUGACUAUUACUGUGGAGGGGACUGAGCUGGGCGUAGGAGACUCAGGGACACCUCCCCCUCCCCGCCAUGAAUCUGAAUGCAGGAGCUCAUUUGCUGGAUGGGGUGGGGGAGGUAGACAGGCCAUUUGCUAUUAGGGCCUUUCCUCCAGGGGAAGGUUCUGGGAAAACUCUGGAAAGAAUUCCUUGGGGAAGAAGUCCUUCUGGAUCACCCCAAGGACACACACGCUCCCCAGGACGCAGCCGCCCGGGAACUGAGCUCGCGGCCAGCAACCAGCAGAACCCAAGGCCUCAGAUCCACCCCCGUGGCCAGAGGCGGCCUUGCGUUUCCUCCACACACAUGCCUGUUCGACUUGCUUGUCAGAAACCACUCAACAAAAUCCAAUUUAUGGAGCCAAUAUGAAGUGGGGGAAAAUUCCUCUAAACAAAAAAAUGUCUUUUUUCAAAUCAGGGAGGAGGAAAGCCCGGCAGUUGGACAUCCGGGUGAGUAGGCCCGGUGCUAAGAUCCGGAUUCCGAACCCUGCGGAGGGGAGCUGAGUCGGGACGUAGCAUUUACUUGGGUUUCUCCAGAGAGACCCACGGCUCCCCCAAGAUGUCAGGGCUCAGUGUGCCCAGUACUUCCGGAGAAAGCUGAGCUCAUAGGGAUGCUGGUGGCGAUUUACUGAGGGCCUACUGUGGGCCGGCCCCUGUGCUAAGUGCUUCUAUGUGGAUUACUUCGCCUGAACCCUCACAGCAACCCCAUGAGGUAGGUGCUGUUACUGUCAACACCCCACGAUGAGGAGAUCAAAGCUCAGGGAAGUUAAGCCAUUUGGCCAAGGGCACACAGCUCGGGAGAGGGGGUACAAGACUUAAAUGCAGGCAGUCUGGCUCCAGGGACCCCCACUCUUAACAUUUCGCUACAAAGUGACUUGCACCUAGCGGGGGCCUGAGACGUAAAGGAGAGAGAUACAGAGGCGCACGGGAGAGAGCACGGGCUGAGGCAGCAGGGGGCUGGGCCCCAGGCCCAGUUCUGCUGUCAACCGCCCAGAUGAGUCCUUGUCCCUCUCUUGUCCCUUGUCAUUCCUGAAAGGCCGCAACUGGGUAAGGUGAUCCCAAGCUGGCACCCAGGCUCCCAGUGCCCAUUAGCACAUGAAAGGUUCUGAGAAGUCCCGAAGUAAAGAAAAGCCAGUGAGUGCUUAACUGGAAGACCUGACCAGCAAAAAUCGUCACCUAAUGAUUCAUAACCUUGAGUUGAACUCCUAUCAGUAAGUUGGUAAGUUGACAACUAUUCACGGGCCCUUUGGAAGGUAAGUGAACAAGACAUGAUCCUGCCUUUGAGGUGCUUCUUCUCUGGAGAGAAGGUAGCCAAGUGGAAGACAGUGACCACACGGUGUGGCCAUUGCUCUGAAGGAGACCGGUCAGGGAGCCUGAAGCACCGGGCAGGGGAAGAGGCAUCUUGCCCCGCCUGAGGGUCAAGGGAAGUAUGGCAGAGAAGUUCACGGUCAAAUAGGGUUUUAAAGGACGAGUAGGAGUUCUGCAGGAAGAGAAUUAGAGAGGAAGGGCAGCCCCAGGGGUAGGAACAGCACAUGUACAAGUCAGUCGUGUGAAGGGUUCGUUGUUCCACAGGCUGGAAAAUACGGCGUGGCUGGCAGAGAGGGGUGGGCUGGAAUAGGAGCGUGAAAGGCCUUGAAUGCUAAGCCAAGGAGUUCAGAUUGUAUUCUGGGGGAAUAAUAGAGGCCAUAACUGAGAGGAGCAACCUUUUGGAUUGGGGUGGAAGGGAAAACCUACAGGCCAGGAGUCCAGUGAGGAAGCUGGUUCUGCUGUCUGGGCCAGACCAGAGGAGGCCCAAACUGCAUUGAACAGACAGCACAUCUGACCAGGAUCUUUGGUUUGCAAGAAAUCCAGCACAAGGAGACCUAGGUGAAAAUGAAAAGGGCCUUCAAGCAUGACUGAAUCCAGGGGCUCGAAUGAUAUUGUCAGAAAUCCGGCCACAGUCACAUCGGUCCGGGGGAUGGGAUUUUUUUCGUGGCCAGUGUUCAGGUCAGUCAUGCUCCAGCUACAUGCUCUGAAUAUGGGGCAGGGGCAGUUUCUCGAAGGAACUUCGGAUGACCGGCAGCAGGGUGUUGCCAGGCAGGUGAAAGCAAUAGCUGGCCGCUGUGGGUGGCGACUGUUGCGGCUUUUGGUGGGGGAUGGGCCCUUGCCCAGCCCUGCCUCUGAGGCUGAGGCACGCAGCUGAGGGCUGGGGUGGUCAGGGUGGGCUCCAUGGAGGAAAGGGGCCUGGAAGGGAGACUUGCACAGUGAGAAGGACUGGGGCAGGUAGAGUGGGCACUCUGGGAGGAAGGAUCCUGGGAGAACAAAGCUACGGAGGUGAGAGUGAGCAGGAUGUUCCGGAACCGGUGAGCACGGCAGGCCCAGAGGGCUGAUGAAAGGGGGUGGAGGGACGUCAGAGGUGCUUCUACGCCAGGCCCCCUCUGGCCUAACUGGACAGCCUCCUUGGAUACACAGGUCGGGGCGAAACAGUGGCUUCAUUGCUCAGUAGCUUCCCAUGGCUCCCUAUGGCCCAACCAUGAGGAAUUUAAGGCCCCGGCGUGCCCAUUGCCCCCUCAUGGGGCACGCAUGGUCAUCCGGAGGGCCAUGCCAACCACACUCCAAACACACCGUUCCCCUUCCACCUUUAAGCCUUUGCUCUGGAUGUUUCCCUGCCCUGAAACACAUCCCCUGUUUGGUAUUUCCACCCAUCCUCUGACAGCCAGCUAGAGGAACAGGCCUCCCCUCCUUUCUCACUUUUGAACUCCCAGAGCUCUUUCUUUGGGUUUUUUGGGUUUGUUUUUUACAUGCCCCUUAGCCCAGCCAGCCUGGUGGGGGCAGGGUGGCAAGUCACAUGCACCUGGGCCUUGGAUGCUGGUCAGAUCUGGGUUCAAAUUCUCCCUGCGUCACUCACUAGCUGUGUGACCUUGAACACAUCAUUUGACCUCUCCUUGAAGACCUUUUCUGACCUAUAAAAUGUGAACAAGGCAUUACAUGAGGCUUAAAUGUGGUUAUAUGUAAAAAGUUCCUGGCACAUGGUCUCUCAUGCAGCCCUCACUACUGUUUCGUCAUUGCUCAGAUUAUGAAUUAUGUCCCUCUCCUCCUCUAUGAGCUCAGGCCAGCCAGGGACUACACCUGGAUUUUUUCCCAGUCCCCCGGGGUCUGGCACAUCGUAGGGGGCUUGUAAGGGCUAAUCUAUCCGCUUUCCUGGGCCGUGCAGAUCCGUUCCCCCCAUCCUGCUUCACCUGGCUGAGGCUGGGGGGAGGCCCCGGGGGCCCCACACCUGCUCCCUGAGGCUGACCCGGCAAGCUACUAGGUGCCAGCAUCGAGCAUCAAUAAAUUACCGGCAAGUUCAAGUGACGGGACAGAUCCAGUGUCAGCUUCCUCUGUGUCAUGCAGGAAGGCUCAGGCCCAGGGGAUCCCCCUCCAUGAGCCUCUCCCGCCAAGGGCGCCAGCAGAAAAACAGAAUUGCUCACAGGGCACCUACUGUGCGCCAGGCCCCAUCUGGGAGCUUUGCACCGCAUUUGAUUGGCGCCUCACAAUGAUUCUGCAAAGCAGGUGCUAGCUGCAUUUUACACACGCGGAAACUGAGGCUUGAUGAAGGGAGGCGAUUGGCAAAAGACACAAUUAAUAACAGAAAGAAAAGCCCCCUUCCUUUCUAAUUCGACAUAAAUCUUGGAUCUCAUUUCAAUUUUUAGUUACAAUACACACACGCGCGCACACACACACACUUGGGGUUUCUUCAUUCAUUUAUUCAACAGCUAUUUAUUGAACACCUACUAUGUGCCAGGCCAUUCCGGACUUGGAGAUACUGCAGUCAAGACAGAAUCCCUGCCCUCUGGGAACAUACAUUCCAGUACUGAGAUGAACAGAGACAUAUACUGUUGGAAUGAAAUAUACUGAACGGAGACAUAUACUGUUGGAAACAAAUACAUAUACUGGAAGGUGGUGCUGAGUCUUGGAAGGUGAAUAAAGCAGGGCAGGAAGAUAGAAUCACUGGGGGACUAUUUCGAAAAGGGCUUUCAAGGUGGGCUUCUCUGGGGAGGUGACAUUUGAAUGAAAUUCCUUGUCUCUUUAUGCUUUCGUUUCUGGAAAAGGGAGACACUGGACUCCAAAGGUUUUCAAACUCUGUGAGGUGGACAGAAUGUUUUCCCACUCGGUUGUGUUUCCACAGGCACCGUGCCAUGGGCCAUUGUAGAUGUGGAGACACUUUUCCCCCUCCUCUUCUCUUUACCCCGAGUGCUUCUGUCCAAGGAGCCCUCAGGCAGGGCUUCUCAGAGAUGCUCGGCCGAGCCCCCCUACCAUAUGUUCUCGGGGCACCUUUUUGUUUUCUAAUUCUCAACCCAUUUGUCACAAUCUUUGGAAAGUCAGCUCUUCCCUGGGCUUCAUGAGGGCUGGGGCCAGGUCCACCUCGUGUAUCCCAGCACUAGGCGUGGCAUCCGACACAGAGGGCACUCAAAACAUAAAUAAACAUAAAUAUAACAUAAGCAUAAAUAAAUGGCAAACAGACAUAGUCACGCUAGGAGCUAAUACUUAUCGAGGGCUUAUUCUCCCAAUAGGCCUGUGAGUCAGGGGUAACUUUUAUCCCCACUUUACCAGCGUUGCAAACUGAGGCUUAGAGCAAGGAACCCACGUCAGGUCACUGAGCAGCAGAGCGUGCCGGGAGGAGACACUAAAUGCUGCUAGACUUACUGGUUAAGAGGGAGGCAGUGUAGUAUGGUGAAAAAUGCCAUCAACUUUGAUCCGAGGUGUGCAUUUUUAGGACCAGCCCAUUUGCUCUUUCAUUCAUUCACUUUUAAAAAACUUAUUCAGUGAUUGUUAAACCUCAGCUCCUGUGCUGGGCACUGGUAGGUACAGGAAACCAGGUAAAUGUGAAAUUGUGUGGUCAGAGCCCGCAUGGGGAAAGCCCAGGGGUCGGAGGGUGAGGAACCGUGGCGGUCCCUGAGCCAAACUGAGGGGUCAGGAAGCCUUUCUGGGUGAGGUGGCCCUGGAACAGCAGGGGGGUGUGCCCAGGCAGACUACGGGGGGCCAGGGGGAAGCAAGGGACCACCUCACCUCUGAGUUGUAGGCAUUCCCACCCCAUCACCUUCCCCCCUCCACCCGCCGCACUCUCCCCUUCUCCCUCCCCCCACCAUUCCCAGGCCCAGAGUCAGAGCUCAGUGAAAUACAGGUGAUCUGGCCAAAUCAGGUAAAGGCUAUGCCUGUGGCCCUGAGCCUCUUCCCCUCUGUGGGACUCAGUUUACCCAUCUGUAAAAGGCAGAGUUUGUAUUAUAUACUCUCUACAGACCCUUCAUCGGUGGCCUCUUGUGAUCCAGGAUAGUACUGUCAGCAUUAAAGAAAAACUCCAGGGGAUCUACUGACCUAUGAUUAAUGGGACAGCCUACUUUGUCCUUUUGGCAGGUGGCUGGAAUGUGAAGAAAAGAGGAGCAGUUGUCCCCUAGGACCAUGACCGUCCCCCUCCCUGAGAUGGACAUUGUGAGAAGCGUACCUCCCCCCCCCCCACCCCGCCACCCCCAGCAUGCUCUGGGGCAGGACCUCUGCUAAAGGAUGCCACUGACAUGAACAGGCUAGAAGUCCAGGGAUCCGUUUCAGCAGAAGGGGCUUUGCUUUGGGCUCAUUCUUCUGCUCGGCCACCUCUACUUUUUUACCGGUACUUUUUUGGGGCAUGAGGCUGAGAUGUGCCUAGUAUAGAGUAAGCUGACACAUGGGAGGAGAGGGCAAGGCCUCUGACCUCCAGGCACCUUGAUCACAGACCGUUGGGCUGCCCUCCACUCCUCACUCCACCUCUGCUCCUCAGUCUCUCCCUUCUUUACAACUCACCAGUGGCUUUGCAUCACGUUUAGAAUGCAAUCCAGAGUCUAGGGUCUCCUGCCUCCUCAUUCACUUCACUCUAGCCACCCUGGCCUUCUUUCAGCUUCUAGAAAAUGCCAAUAUCUUUCCCACCUCAAGGCCUUUGCACAUGCUAUUCCCUCUGCCUGGAAUGCUCUUCCCUCAGAACACAGCCUAGAUGGUUCCUUGUCAUUUAAGUCACUGUUCAAAUAUACCACCUCAGAGGGGCCUUCCCUGAUCCCCUAAGGAAAGCCGUCCCUUGUGUCCAUUUGUUAUCACAGCUCCCUAUUUCAUUCAAGGCCCUUUCCUCAAGCUGUAAUUAUUUUUUUAAAGAUUUUCUUCUUUAAUUUUUUAAAAGGAAUCUCUAUUCCCAAAGUGGGGCUCAAACUCACAACCCGGAGAUCAAGAGCUGAAUGCUCUACUGACUGAGCCAGGCAGGUGCACCCCCCAAAGCUGUCAUUAUUGAUGGCUGAUCUGUUCAGUGGCCAUCUUCCCCACCCAUUAGUGUGCUUCACAAGGGCAAGGACCUUCAGAAUCCCCUGGCUAGAUCCCCAGCACCUGGUGUAUAAUGACUGCUCAAGAGAUGUUUGUUGAAUGAAUGAAACACAAAAAGUAUCAACAAUCCCCAUUUUCCUCCUUGAACACUUUGCAACCGUAUGAAGGAGAAAAUGGCAUUUAUUGGGCACCUGUUAUAUACCAGGCGCUCUCAUGUAUGCGAUUACAUCAACGACACCCACGCCAUUAAAUAGGUGAUGAAGUUGAUGCAGUUGGGGUUCAGUGAAGGGUGGACUGAUGGGCUUAUUCAGUUGGGAAGCAGCCACCUGGGACCCGUGGACAUGAAGAAUGCCCUGGAAAAGAGCGGUCAGGGUCCCAUCCCAAGUCUGUUUGACUCUACCCGAAGCCCGUGUUCUUUCCACUGUGCUGCAUCUUCUGCCACAGUAGAACCCAGCCCAAGAUUGGUAAGCAGGUUUCUAGGUUCUGAAAGGCAGGCAAAGACCCAGAUUUCAUGGACAGGUGGUCUGGCUUAGUGGCUACUCAACUGGGUCUUGGAACUGAAGAGAGAGACCUGGGCUCCAAUGGGGGGCCCCACCACCUAGGCACCAAGGCACCCUUGCUGAGGGUGGUCAUUCACAACGCUAAGUGAGGGCACUUUUCCUCUCCGGAAGGAAGUCAGCUGUGAGGGUAAGUGUCCACGGCUAUAUUGGAAAAGUCAGGGCGUGGGGCUUCCAAGUCAUGCAGAAGCAUACCUCCGGGGCUGGGUGGCCUUUGGGUGGUGCCUUCCCCUCUCUGAGCCCCAGUAGUAAUCUCCGAAAAAUGGACACGCCAGCAUGGAACCAAAAAGAGCUUUUGGGGAGAUGAAGAAGAAAAAUGACUGUGGAGUUGUUGGUGUAUAUAAAGUAACAUGGAAAUGUAAAUUAUCUAAAAAUAAAUCUUCUAUGUGAAAUGCA